GACGAACGCUGGCGGCGUGCUUAACACAUGCCAGUCGUACGGUAAGGCCCUUUCGGGGGUACACGAGUGGCGAACGGGUGAGUAACACGUGAGUAACCUGCCCACAACUUUGGGAUAACGCUAGGAAACUGGUGCUAAUACUGGAUAUGUGCUCCUGCUGCAUGGUGGGGGUUGGAAAGCUCCGGCGGUUGUGGAUGGACUCGCGGCCUAUCAGCUUGUUGGUGGGGUAGUGGCCUACCAAGGCGGCGACGGGUAGCCGGCCUAAGAGGGUGACCGGCCACAUUGGGACUGAGAUACGGCCCAGACUCCUACGGGAGGCAGCAGUGGGGAAUAUUGCACAAUGGGCGCAAGCCUGAUGCAGCAACGCCGCGUGCGGGAUGACGGCCUUCGGGUUGUAAACCGCUUUCAGCAGGGACGAAGCUUUUUGUGACGGUACCUGCAGAAGAAGCACCGGCUAACUACGUG
rnacentral:rRNA from 1 species